GGGAGAAACCAGGGGUAGAACAGGGCUGCUAACUUUGUUUUGGGCGGCUCGAACCGUCCUUCUCCCU
rnacentral:tRNA from 2 species